ACACAUGCAGUCGAACGGCAACACGUUUUAGUUACUAAGAUGGUGGCGAGUGGCGCACGGGUGAGUAACGCGUAGGAAUAUACCUUAAAGUGGGGGAUAACUUGGGGAAACCCAAGCUAAUACCGCAUAAUACUCUGAGGAGAGAAGCUGGGGACCAUUAGGCCUGGCGCUUUAAGAUUAGCCUGCGUCCGAUUAGCUAGUUGGUAGGGUAAAGGCCUACCAAGGCGACGAUCGGUAGCUGGUCUGAGAGGAUGGCCAGCCACACUGGAACUGAGACACGGUCCAGACUCUUACGGGAGGCAGCAGUGGGGAAUAUUGGACAAUGGGGGGAACCCUGAUCCAGCAAUGCCGCGUGUGUGAAGAAGGCCUGCGGGUUGUAAAGCACUUUCAGUGGGGAGGAGGGAUGAUUGGUUAAGAGCUGAUUAUUUGGACGUUACCCACAGAAGAAGCACCGGCUAACUCCGUGCCAGCAGCCGCGGUAAUACGGAGGGUGCGAGCGUUAAUCGGAAUUACUGGGCGUAAAGGGUGCGUAGGUGGUUUAAUAAGUUAAGUGUGAAAGCCCUGGGCUCAACCUAGGAAGGCCAUUUAAGACUGUUAGACUUGAGUGUAGGAGAGGGUAGUGGAAUUUCCGGUGUAGCGGUGAAAUGCGUAGAGAUCGGAAGGAACACCAGUGGCGAAGGCGGCUACCUGGCCGGACACUGACACUGAAG
rnacentral:rRNA from 1 species